rnacentral:misc_RNA from 1 species
UUUCCGUAGGUGAACCUGCGGAAGGAUCAUUACCGAGUUAGGGUGUCGCCUCGGCGCGCCCGACCUCCCAACCCUUUGUCGAACCAAACCACGUUGCCUCGGGGGGCGUCUCGUCGUCUUUCGCGGCGAGCACCCCCAGAGGACCAACCAACUCUGCGUCUUUGCGUCGGAGUAUUGAAAACAAAUCAAUCAAAACUUUCAACAACGGAUCUCUUGGUUCUGGCAUCGAUGAAGAACGCAGC